rnacentral:misc_RNA from 1 species
GAAAUGCGAUAAGAAGUGUGAAUUGCAGAAUUCAGUAAAUCAUCGAAUCUUUGAACACACAUUGCGUCUCCUGAUAUUCCGGGAGGCAUGCCUGUUCGAGCGUCAUUAACACCCCUCAAGCUUAGGUUUACCUAUUGCUUGGUCUUGGAGAUGGAAGCCAAUUCGUUGGAGUCCUCUUCGCAAUCCAAUGGCGAAGACUCUUGCUCUCCCAAGUGUAAUAAUAACUUAUGUCACUGAAGGAAGCGACAAAUCUUCCGCCGAAACCCCAAAUUGUUUAUGAUUGACCCCGAAUCAGGUAGGGAUACCCGCUGAACUUCA